UAAACCAUGAUUUAUGGCUUACUUUACAGGGAGUCUGGAGGCAUGUGGUUGAUUCAGCAAUUCAGCCAUGUCCAUCUUUGCUCUCCAGUGUCCCCAGCACUCUAGUCUUUCCUCAUGCUUGUCACCUCGUGAGUACCAGAUGCUGCCAAUAUGGCAGGCUCCACAUUUUUUCUUUCAGACAUUGUUUCGUUCUUGUCACCCAGGCUGGAGUGCAAUGGCGUGAUCUCGGCUCACUGCAAUCUCCACCUCCCAGCUUCAAGCAAUUCUCUUGCCUCAGCCUCCCGAUUAGCUGGGAUUACAGACAUGCACCAUCAUGCCCGCUAAUUGGCAGGCUCCACAUUUCUUAUGCCAGCCAUCUCAAAGGGGGUAGGGGGUCAAGGGUUUUCUUUUCAGGAGGGUUUGUAUUCCAUCCAGUUGGGAAACCCUUUCACGUCUCAUGGACCCAGGUUGCAUCACAUGACCCUAGACCAGUCACUGGGGAAGGGGAAUGAGAUUACCGUGACCUGGUUAGAGUGAUCACGUUUCAUCUAAGGAAGUAGGCACGCACGUCCCCUUCAGGAAAUACAGAUAAGCAGGGAUGGGUGAAGUAGUAGCUGUUGGACAGCAAUGAACAGUGCCUAACUCAAGUUUAGUAGACACGAUGCACAAAAUGGAAUAUUUGUAGGUUGUGUAGUAACCCAACUUAUAAUAUUGUUCUUUUGAGAAAAUGUGUUCUUAGCACCAAAGAGAACUUUUGGGAAACAAUACUCGAAUACAAUCCAAAAUGCAUGGAGUGAAAUUCAUACAUUUAUCUUUCAAAGUAUACUUAACAUAAUUCCAUCUUUCUUGGGCCCUUCAGGAGGUAUUCUUAGAAUCUUCUAGUUUGAGAAUCAGAAUCAGGCUGUGCCUGGUGGCCCAUGCCUGUAAUCCCAGUACUUAGGGAGGCCGAGGUGGGCGGAUCACUUGAGGUCAGGAGAUGGGGUUGCAGUGAGCCAAGAUAGUGCCACUGUACUCCAGCCUCGGCAGAGCAAGGUCUUAAAAAAAAAAAAAUCAAAUGUGAACACAGACUGUCAUUAAAAUCAACCCAACAAUCCCAUAGACUGUUUACUAUUUUUUAAAUAAACUUAGAAAUUAUCAUUUCUAGUCUUAAGGUUGAAACUUACCUUUGUUUUAUCUGAGUUCCUUCCUCAGGAAAGGACCUCCAGAGCCUCUCAAAAAGUAUCAAAAAACUGAAACUCACCAUAUCACCGCAUUCCAGACAAUGAGAUGCCAAGCCCCUCAUGCAUCCCCAUAGCUUCCUUCCCCCUCCCGAGUUCCUCUUUUCCCAUACAUUGUUACAUUGCUUCCCUGCAACUGUAUAAACCCUUAAUUUUAGUUGGUCAGGGCAAUGGAUUUGAGACUGAGCUCCCAACUCCCUGAGUGCAGCACCCUACUAAAGCCUUCUUCCUUGGUAAUAAUGGUUGUCUCAGUGAUUUCUGUGAGGGGCCAGCGGGUCCUAGAACAAAACCCUGGUGCUCUGGUGACAUUCUGUUGUAGAUAUUUAGAAGGAUGGUUAACAGAGUUUACCUGUUAAUUUGUUCUGCUAUCCUCACAAAAAGUGGUAUUGCCAGCUGCACAUAAAUAUUUGAUUCAUCCACCCGCCCCCGUUCCCCACCCCCCCGACCCCAGCCAUGAUGGCACAGGGAAACUGAGGUCGCAGGUGAGCAGCAGACCGCGUCUGGACUCCACAUCCCGCGCUCAUCCUGCUCCACGGCAGGAAGCUCGUUCAACACACAUGCACUGCGUGCCCAUGUGGGUGCCAGGCUCCGGCUGUGUCCUGGGCAGGCAAAGGGACCUAGGGAAGAUGCAGGUCCAGUGGGGUGGGAAAGUAGGGGCAGAAAACCAAGAUUCUCACAGCCCUGCAGUGUGGAGUAAGAGAGAACUCAUUACACCUCUUGUCAAGGGAACAAAGGAUCCCCGCCAGGCCCCUCUUGUGCACCCAGCGGUCCCCCCAGGCGCCUUGGAGACCCGGCCGGGCCCGUCGCCGGCCUCCAGCCACAGGCGUCGCUGUGCGCUCGCGCUGGCCCGGGAGCCGCGUUCCGCCGGGAGCAGGCGCUGGCGCAGAGCAGGGGUUUCAGUUUCUGGCGCGAACUUCCGCCGUUCCGAAGUUGCACGGUGAAUUGGCGCUAUGUCUGGGGACAGCAGCGGCCGCGGGCCAGAGGGCCGGAGCCGGGGCCGCAACCCGCAUCGGGAUCGCACCCGCUCCCGCUCCCGCUCGCGGUCCCCUUUGUCGCCAAGGUCCCGCCGCGGCUCUGCGCGGGAGCGCAGAGAGGCCCCAGAGCGCCCGAGCCUGGAGGACACAGAGCCGUCGGAUUCCGGGGACGAGAUGAUGGACCCGGCCAGCUUGGAGGCGGAGGCCGACCAAGGCCUGUGCCGCCAGAUCCGCCAUCAGUACCGGGCGCUCAUCAACUCCGUCCAACAAAACCGUGAGGACAUACUGAAUGCCGGUGACAAAUUAACAGAGGUCCUUGAAGAGGCGAACACUCUGUUUAAUGAAGUGUCCCGAGCAAGAGAAGCAGUCCUGGAUGCCCACUUUCUUGUUUUGGCUUCAGAUUUGGGCAAAGAGAAAGCAAAGCAGCUGCGCUCAGACUUGAGCUCCUUUGACAUGUUAAGAUAUGUUGAAACUCUACUCACACAUAUGGGUGUAAAUCCGCUAGAAGCUGAAGAACUCAUCCAUGAUGAAGAUGGUCCUGAUUUUGAAUUCAUAGUCUAUGACUCCUGGAAGAUAACAGGCAGAACAGCAGAAAACACCUUUAAUAAAACCCAUACAUUCCACUUUCUGUUGGGUUCAAUAUACGGAGAGUGCCCUGUGCCAAAGCCACGAGUUGAUCGUCCAAGGAAAGUUCCUGUGAUACAAGAGGAGAGGGCAAUGCCUGCCCAGUUAAGAAGAAUGGAAGAAUCUCAUCAAGAAGCAACAGAGAAAGAAGUAGAAAGAAUCUUGGGAUUGUUGCAGACAUAUUUUCGAGAAGAUCGAGACAGAGUCUCACUCUUUCGCUCAGACUGGAAUGCAGUGGCACCAUCUCAACUCACUGCAACCUCCACCUCCUGGAUUCAAGCAAUUCUCCUGCCUCAGCCUCCUGAGUAGCUGGGAUUACAGGCGCACGCGCCACCACAUCUGGCUAAUUUUUUUUCUGUAUUUUUAGUAGAGACAUUGUUUCGCCAUGUUGGCCAAGCUAGUCUUGAACCCCUGACCUCAGGUGAUCUGCCAGCAUCGGCCUCCCAGAGUGCUGGGAUUACAGGCGUGAGUGCCAUGCCCAGCUGGAUGAUUAAGUUCUUUAUAGCAUUUUACUCUUGUAUAAAUUGCUGAAGUAAAAAAUCUUAGUAUGUAAUUUUGUGCACUUACACUUGUAUUUCUGUAGCACAGCUUCUUAGAGGUGGUUUCCAGGUCAGUGGGCAUACAUGUUUUUAGUAGAGAUGCCAAAUUGGCCUCCAGAAGGGUUGGAUUGAUUUGCACUCCUGCAGCAGGAUGAGUACACAUCCUUUCUUUGUCUCUGGCUAACGCUAGAGUGUACUGAUAUUAAUGAUAUGCAAAAAUCAAUUUUUUUUUCUCUUUUUGUCUAUAGCUGAUACCCCAAUGUCCUUCUUUGACUUUGUGGUUGAUCCUCAUUCUUUCCCCCGUACAGUGGAAAACAUCUUUCAUGUUUCCUUCAUUAUACGGGAUGGUUUUGCAAGAAUAAGACUUGACCAAGACCGACUGCCAGUAAUAGAGCCUGUUAGUAUUAAUGAAGAAAAUGAGGGAUUUGAACAUAACACACAAGUUAGAAAUCAAGGAAUUAUAGCUUUGAGUUACCGUGACUGGGAGGAGAUUGUGAAGACCUUUGAGAUUUCAGAGCCUGUGAUUACUCCAAGUCAGAGGCAGCAGAAGCCAAGUACUUGAUGCUAGCUGAAGGACUCAAAUGGAUAGUGAAGUCCAAAACGGAAAGCGGCAUGUAUUGUACAUAUUGUAUGAUUCAACAUUUUUAAAGGCAGAUUGUUUUUAGUAAAAUGUAGCUUUUGAUAGUUAAUAAAUUUGUCAUGGUUGUCUUUGAUUAAAGGAAACUCACCGCCAUAUUCACAAA